rnacentral:rRNA from 1 species
UGGGGAAUAUUGCGCAAUGGGGGAAACCCUGACGCAGCCAUGCCGCGUGAGUGAAGAAGGUCUUCGGAUCGUAAAGCUCUUUCAACGGUGAAGAUGAUGACGGUAGCCGUAGAAGAAGCCCCGGCUAACUUCGUGCCAGCAGCCGCGGUAAUACGAAGGGGGCAAGCGUUGUUCGGAAUUACUGGGCGUAAAGGGGCGUGUAGGCGGUCUAAUCAGUCAGUGGUGAAAGCCCUGGGCUCAACCCAGGAAUUGCCUUUGAUACUGUUAGACUAGAGUUCGGGAGAGGAUAGUGGAAUUCCCAGUGUAGAGGUGAAAUUCGUAGAUAUUGGGAAGAACACCAGUGGCGAAGGCGGCUAUCUGGACCGAUACUGACGCUGAGGCGCGAAAGCGUGGGGAGCAAACAGGAUUAGAUACCCUGGUAGUCCACGCCGUAAACGAUGUCUGCUAGUCGUUGGGGGGCCGUAGCCCUUCAGUGGACGCCGCUAACGCAUUAAGCAGACCGCCUGGGGAGUACGGCCGCAAGGUU